GUCAGAUGUGAAAGACCCGGGGCUUAACCGUCGGAAUUGCAUUUGAAACUGGACAGGCUAGAGUCUUUGUAGAGGGGGUAGAAUUUCAGGUGUAGCGGUGAAAUGCGUAGAGAUCUGAAGGAAUACCAGUGGCGAAGGCGGCCCCCUGGACAAAGACUGACGCUCAGAUGCGAAAGCGUGGGGAGCAAACAGGAUUAGAUACCCUGGUAG
rnacentral:rRNA from 1 species